rnacentral:rRNA from 1 species
UACGAAGGGGGCUAGCGUUGCUCGGAAUUACUGGGCGUAAAGGGCGCGUAGGCGGCACUGUUAGUCAGGCGUGAAAGUCCUGGGCUCAACCUGGGAACUGCGCUUGAUACGGCAGAGCUAGAGGAUGGAAGAGGCUCGCGGAAUUCCCAGUGUAGAGGUGAAAUUCGUAGAUAUUCGGAAGAACACCGGUGGCGAAGGCGGCCCACUGGCUCGACACUGACGCUGAGGUGCGAAAGCGUGGGGAGCAAACAGG